GACAACAUAGUUUAAACUAAUUGAAAGAUGGCUACUCUGCGAGUAGCUGGUGAGAUAAAAUCUCUGUUGUUG
rnacentral:tRNA from 1 species